GAUGAAGAACGUAGCGAAAUGCGAUAAGUAAUGUGAAUUGCAGAAUUCAGUGAAUCAUCGAAUCUUUGAACGCACAUUGCGCCCGCCAGUAUUCUGGCGGGCAUGCCUGUUCGAGCGUCAUUUCAACCAUCAAGCCCCCGGGCUUGUGUUGGGGACCUGCGGCUGCCGCAGGCCCUGAAAACCAGUGGCGGGCUCGCUAGUCACUCCGAGCGUAGUAGUUACAUCUCGCUCAGGGCGUGCUGCGGGUUCCGGCCGCUAAAAGCCUUUUACCCCAAGGUUGACCUCGGAUCAGGUAGGAAGACCCGCUGAACUUAAGCAUAUCAAUAAGCGGAGGA
rnacentral:misc_RNA from 1 species